UACAGAGGGGGCAAGCGUUGUUCGGAAUUACUGGGCGUAAAGGGCGCGUAGGCGGCCCGCUAAGUCGAACGUGAAAUCCCCGAGCUCAACUCGGGAACUGCGUCCGAUACUGGUGGGCUUGAAUCCGGGAGAGGGAUGCGGAAUUCCAGGUGUAGCGGUGAAAUGCGUAGAUAUCAGGAGGAACACCGAUUGCGAAGGCAGCACUCUGGGACGUGACUGACGCUGAGACGCGAAAGCGUGGGGAGCAAACAGG
rnacentral:rRNA from 1 species